rnacentral:rRNA from 1 species
GAUGAACGCUGGCGGCGUGCCUAAUACAUGCAAGUCGAGCGAACAGACGAGGAGCUUGCUCCUCUGACGUUAGCGGCGGACGGGUGAGUAACACGUGGAUAACCUACCUAUAAGACUGGGAUAACUUCGGGAAACCGGAGCUAAUACCGGAUAAUAUAUUGAACCGCAUGGUUCAAUAGUGAAAGACGGUUUUGCUGUCACUUAUAGAUGGAUCCGCGCCGCAUUAGCUAGUUGGUAAGGUAACGGCUUACCAAGGCAACGAUGCGUAGCCGACCUGAGAGGGUGAUCGGCCACACUGGAACUGAGACACGGUCCAGACUCCUACGGGAGGCAGCAGUAGGGAAUCUUCCGCAAUGGGCGAAAGCCUGACGGAGCAACGCCGCGUGAGCGAUGAAGGUCUUCGGAUCGUAAAACUCUGUUAUUAGGGAAGAACAAAUGUGUAAGUAACUAUACACGUCUUGACGGUACCUAAUCAGAAAGCCACGGCUAACUACGUG